rnacentral:tRNA from 1 species
GUCGGAGUGGCGGAAUUUGGUAGACGCGCCAGCUUGAGGGGCUGGUGCCCGCAAGGGCGUGGGGGUUCAAGUCCCCCCUCCGACACCA